AGGACUGGCAUUUGGGAGGAACGGGAGCGAGAGAGAAGGAAGCGCUCGGGUCCGCGAGUGACGAGAGGCUCACGGAGGGCCCAAGAGACUGUCUAUCAUGGAUAAUUAACUGCAGUUCUGUGAGUAUCCCAAAUGAACCAUGAAGAUGAACUGCGAACUGUAAGUCAUUAAUUUCUCAUUACUCUUGGGCACAUUGAUGUAUUUUGUCUUGGUGAGUUAACCUGUUACCUGAAGGUUGAUCUGAGUAAGGAUGUUUUAUUGGUUCAUGGGUUACUUAGGUGUUUGGUUUAUGUUGGUUUUAAUGAUUUGUUAAAAUGGUUACAGGCUCCAGUGAAUUAUUGUAAGCAGGAGUAAUGGGUUGGGUUCUGAUAUCUUCAGUCUUCUUUCCAGUUACUCUCCUGAGCUCUGCAUCUUCAUCACAUGAGUGUUGCUUUACUGAUGAGGGUGUGGUCUGAGCGAGCGGAGGUGCAUACUGGGAUACAGAGCUGUCUGAAGUCUACAGGUCUGUAGACACGCCCCCUCAGGGGAAACCGAGUGUUUGAGAAACCGUCGUGACGUCAGUUACAUGGACUGGAAUGUUCUUAAAGAUGGAGACAGGGUUUCAGAAGGAGAAACACCAGGGGGAGAUGAGGGGGCUCUUCAUCUCAACGACUAAAACACAACUUCAGUCUGACACAGAGAACCAUGGAACACAUUCAACAGUCUCCUCCAGGCAUCGUGACUCCUCAAGAACAGUUUCAUUUCCAAGAAGGUCCUAUUUGGGGCCAUCCCCAUAUGGAUCCUGCUCCUCAAGAGCCACCCCCCUCCACUGGGUGGUCUUCUGAACAGAUGACCUCCUUCCUGUCCUCAGACUGAUUAAAGCUGCACCGUUUGCAUCUGUGAAGGCCCGUCAUUCAGGAAACCAAUGGACUACAAAGACAUGACUUCAGAGAUGUUGAAUCAACCUGGGACACAUUUUGGAGACGCCAAGCAUAAUCCAUCACCAAUGUGGGACGCCACUGAAGAAUGUUGCACAUAAUUUACGUCUCUGGAGACAUUGGUUGUUCUGUUAUGGGUGCCCUGGCAGGAGAGCUGGGGUGAUGGAAUGUUAUUUGGCAUGAGGCUUUUACCCUGCAUGAUUGUUUGGCCUUUUAUGGCUGUGGUGUGUGUGUUUGGCAUGAGAUGGAUGUUUUUUGAGCAUCGAUAGGGUUCUAGUGUGUGUGUGUGUGUGUCUCCGACUCACACCUGGCAUGGGGUUCCAUGUGUGCGUGUCCGGCUUGCUUUGACAGUGAUAAUGUUCAUGCAGGGGUCUGUGUGAUUGGCCUGGGAUAUUGGAAUGGUCAAAUAAAUCAUACCUGAUGGACGGCCACAUGUCUACUUAAGGGCCUCCAGUAGACAUGAAGAGCCCUGAGCGACACUCCGGAGCGCUAUCCAACACACUGGGCAGGAAGGAGAGUAUCCAAAUCAAAUGUAAAAGGAUGCAAGCGGCGUGUUCAGCGACUUCAAACUAGGACUACACCAAUCAGAAUCAAUGGAGAAUGGACACCUAAAGGAAUUCCAAAAGGAGAGUGACGUUGGAAAGGGACCUAAAUGGAUAUUCAAGAUGACAUUCAGACCAGUAAUGAGACGGCUCUUCCUACCUGGCUGGAUUGAUGGAGAGCCCUGUGGAUCUUGUCUUGCUCUCAGUUGCACGUCUUCUCAGGCUGAACUGGAUAUUUUCGGACAGGACUAGCUGAACGAUUGGUUCCCUCAAAUCAGAACCACUCCGGGAACUCCAGCUAGUGCGCUCUUCAAGCUGCAGUUGUGCUCUUCAGCUGAGGAGGUAAGGAAACCUUCGCUGGGGCUUCAAGGUGUAAAGAGGAGAUGUUUGAAAGUGUUCCAUGGCACUCUGAUGAAGACCGUUGUUGUGUUCCACUGGCUGAGAGAAUCAACCCACACAUCUUCCUCUUGGCCUUUCUCCUCUGAGAAGCCUGGCGCCAUCUUGAAGGAUAUUCCAGCUCAUGUCACUGAUGUCACGACAGAUUCUCAAACACUUUGUUUCUCCUGAGGUGCGUGUCUAUAGAACUGAAGACUUCAGACAGCAAUGUAUCCCAGCAGGCAUCUCUGCUCACUCAGACCACACUCCCGUGAGUAGGAUGCAACACUCUAGUGAUGGAGUUGUAGAGUUUUUUUAAGUAACGAGGGAGCAGACAAAGGUGAUUAGAACACAAUGGCAUGUUAAGUCUGUAAAUCUUUAAACCAUGAAGAUGGUUGGAUAGUUCAGGAAUUGGGCUUUUUAUUAUUGGCAGUCAUUUUACUCCGAUGCCCACUUCUCACUGGAGCUGUAGAUGUCUUGGCUGGCAUGAUUUGCUGUUGGUGAUGAGGCGGUCAGGGUGACAUUGCAGGGCUAUGGUCGGCUCGCUGUGAGCUCAACGUUUAGAUUUGCUCUGUAUGGUUUUUACCCUGAAUAAUCUAGAUAAUUGUAAAAUGUAGACAUGCUUUUGUAUUGCAUGAUUUGAGGUUUAAAGUUGUUGUGGGACAUACAUGGUAGUUUGGUUCUUCGUACAGUUUUGAGUGAUAUAACUUGUACACACUGGGUGCAUAAUAAUGUAAAGGUACACUGAAUAGUAGUAUUGACCAACAGCAACAAACAGAUCUUCUCAAGGUAAGUCUGUUGGCUGUGUUUAUGAAGACCAUCGCUGGACUUCAGGAUCUUCCUCCGUUCAGCUCAAGGUGAGGCGCUGGUUAUGUUUUUUCUUUGGUUGGUUCCGGCUGGAAUGUUCGGAUUCCAGUCGGACGGUUUGUGCUUCCCGCCGGGAAGUUUGAGUGUGGUAAUUUGAUUUAGACCCAAUGGUUAGCAUAGAACGUUGUAGUCUUAAACCAUAGGAAACCACCUGGCAGUUAGUUGGACGGGAGUCCCCUGAGGGAAUCAGGCGCUACGUUCUGGAUUGUAUUUGCGUAACCUCGAGCCGUUGCCAACGGAAAAUAUUUUUCAGUCGGUUUCCAUUUGGAAUGGAUGCCCCUAUCAUAAACAACUAAGUUUGAUAUUAAAUACAUACUGACACGUACGUCGUACAAUAUGUUGAUAAUUUCCGAUGGGUGCGCGGUACUUUUAACCACGAUGACGUGACGGGACUCUCACUGCGUACAAAACGGCGUUCUACUUGCGGGCCCAUUUUUGACAUCAGUGAAGGCUGAAAAUAAUUUCAAGGUGGAAGAUAAUUUGACAUUUCUUCAACGGAAUCCAGCACCUGAAUAUGGCUGAGUAUAUUUGAUUUAAUAUUGAUACUGCUUAGAGUUCUUUGUUAAUUCAGCUUUUGUACGUUCUAAAUAUCUGCUGUCAUUAAUUGCCACAGAAGAUAAGCCCUACCCAAUGGAUUGACGUUAAACAACGUCUUGAGUGAAGAGUUACCAACUGGAUAAUAUCAAAGCUAAAAUAAUGUCCGUCCUUCCCACAUGCUACAGUAGAAGAUACUCUAGAACUGUACAAGGUCAAAAAGGUAACAUGUAGUUUGUCCCAAGGUGUCUGCCUCCUCACCCAGAGCAAGACCUCCACCUCCUCACCCAGAGCCAGACCUCCACCUCCGCACCCAGAGCCAGACCUCCACCUCCUGUCAGAAGUCCUCCAGAACAGCUGAACAGCGAGAGAGGCUGGGGAACGGGGGCUUGUGGUGCCAGGAUGGACUGGAGACUGAGGCUGGAGACCAGGGGCCUGCAGCACCGGACCAGAGGACCAGGCAUCCAUGGCUGAAGGAGCUGAUGGAGGAGCUGAUGCUGAAGGAGCAGGUGGAGGAGCCGUGCUGAAGGCCCUGCCUGGUGGAGGAGCUGGUGGAGGGCCUGCCAGGUGAAUGACUUCUGUCGUGGGACCAGGACUCUGUCUGAGGAGAGCUUCUGGAGGAGCUGAGACGCUGGAGGUCGACUAGGAAUCGACCAACAAGGAUUCCUCAACGUGUUUCUGGAGCGGAGGCGAGCUGGUAGGGGUGCCGUGAAUCUGGAGGAUGACCAUCACUCUACCAACAAGGAGUACUUUAGGGCCAGACUCGCGCUGUUUGUUCCAGACUUGGACUCUGGCUGAGGAGAGCUGAUGGAGGAGCCAAGACUCUGGAGGACGACAUCACUCUACCAAACAGGAUCCUCACCUGGAAUCUGGAGGACCGAUGGAGAAGCCGUACAUCUGGAAGGCAACUCCUUAGGACAACCAGGAAUCUACCAUCAAGGAUUCCUUCUUAGUUUGCAUUAUCUGGACAUAGUGGACUAGACACCCCUGAGCUCAACCUCACCUGAUCCUGUUUUGUUGGGGUAGACACACCUGAGCUGAACCCGCCCUGAUCCUGACAUCCUGCUGGUCCAGUCUCCUCAGUUCAUCUGAGCCUCGUCCUCCAGAAGACCUGCUGAGCUCAGCAGUCUGAGGCUGAUGGAUCAAUGACCUCCAGUGGGAGUGAUCUUCUUGACCCCACAUGUAACCGUGUGCUUCCACACGCCUUUCCCUCUCAUCUGUCACUAACCUCACUACUUCACUACUCUCUACUGCUUCCUCUUUUCUUCCUUCUCUGUGGUUCGAACCUUUACACUGAAGGCGCGUCUUCCUGCCCUCAGAGGGUUCAGCGUUAGGGUUGAGAGUCAGGGUUUAGAGUUAGGGACAGAGCUGGUCAGGGAGGACUGCUUUUACACAAACGUCUUCACUUGCUUUCGGAAUGGUGGACAUUUUGAAAAGAUUCAUUUGGGAAAAAAAUUUCCUCUGCUUUCCUUUACAAAAUUGUGUUAAACUUCUGUCAAGUGUUUUUGUUUUUUAUAUUAAAAUCUCACAUUGAAUUCUACAUGUUUGGUGCUGUUCAUUUAAUUGUCCUUUAACUUGGUUAUUGUCAAGCUAAACUCCUGCAAUACA